CUAACAAAACUUUACGAUGAUACUUUCCAAGAUGGGCCCUCUUUUUCUAAUAGAUCCACGUAGGGAAUAUGUCCUCCAAACGGCAUGUCAUUUGUUUGCUUCUACUUUUCUGGCUGACAUGGUAGCCGAUGAUUAGCCUUUUAUUUUAUUUUAUUUUAUUUUAUUUUAAGGCGGGGCAUAUUUGACUUUACGACUAGUAUCAGUGUACGGAUACCAAUCUCGAUGUCUUCCCCUCCCUUUGUGAGAUUUUUUGAGUCUUUCAAUUGACUUACGGUUUCCCUCCUGCCCCCUCUGUGCCAAGGAAUAGAACAUUUCUUUGAUUGAUAGGUCAGAUAGGAAGCAGACACGCAAACCAAGUCUU
rnacentral:misc_RNA from 1 species